AUCUAAGGAUGGUGUGGUGCUGGGUCAGGGAACAGAAGUGGCCUUCUCCGUGUCACAGAGCGGGGGCUCUCUCUGAUCCGGAGAGGACCCGAAGAUUGGAGCCCCGGCUGUGAUAAUGUGUCGCCCAUAUUCUUCACCUCUCGCCUCUCCCCUUAGAGCUCCUCACAGUUCCUGAACUGCAAAACGCCUGAAGUCAGGGCCAAGAGAGCCUGAGAAGUGGGGCCAUACAAAGAAGCAAUUCGCCCCUCAACAAGAACCCCAGCUUGACUACAGGCUGGAAGAGCGGCCGGUUUUCUCCGCAGUCUGACCAGUAAGGACACUGAGACAAGAGCAUAUAAGAAGUUUCUUACAGAAUGAAAAGGCCUGCCUUGCCAGCACGCUCACCGGAAUUCUUGGAGGAAAAGACAUAAGGGGAAGCCAGGCAGUCAGAAGCUAUCCAGAGUGACCAUGAUGGCCUGUUGCUUUCCUAUACAGUACCCAAAUGGUGGUCCAGGGCUACGCCCAGGCCAGAACCCGGCAGGACCAGGACCCACUGAUGGAUGAUCCAGACUUGGGUCCGUCCUGCAGUCAGUGCCAAACCCAGACCAAAGUGUCGUCCACAGGACACUGAGUCCUUCAAGAGGGCUGCACUGCUGGUGCUCUCCUAAGAUGCUUUCCUGUGUAGUGUUCGGGGUGAAGGUACACACGGGGGAUGGGGGAGAUGUUGUCUGGCAGGAUGUCCCCUCCCUUUCGGCAACAGGAUACCCAGCAGGGAGGACGGAUGGAACUCAAUGGUUUUCCUUCCUCCGUUUCUGGCAGGUGAGACACUGUGGGGCCUUGAGGACGGUGCCUGAGUUUGGCUUUGCCUAAAAAAGGAAGCAAUACGGUUGAGCCCGAGAAGCUUGCUGCAGGAACAAGUAAGAGCUAUGUCCUGCUGCCGUCCCCCACUCCCUUGCCGGGAAUCUUGGCAGUGGGUGUUGGCUUCACUCCACAGACCUCAGGCCUCUGAAUGGACCAGAAAGUGCUUGAUGUUUCUGCCUGAGCAAUGCUUGAGACAGGAGCAGCGUGUGUGAGUCCCUCAAAGAGCAUGCCUCUCAGGGGGCACCAACUAACCUCCAGCUCCCAGUACACAAGGUUGCUGUGGAGAUGGCAUUGUGAACAAGCAGAGGACAUGGUUGGGGUGUGGGGGGGUGGUGAGAGUCCCCAACAGAACCAUUUUAUCUCAGGCUUGUUCUGCCAGGGAGCUGGGUCUUGAAGGAAGCAGAGAUUCGUAGUCCCCAGGCCUAUCCUCACACCUCAGCCUGCCCUGUUUCCAUCCCUUCUGGAAAAAGUGAGCAGACCUUCUUGACUGUGACUCAGGCACUUGAGAAAGCAGCUGCCCUCCUUCCUCUGGCCUCACCAUCAGACGGAGAGGGCACAGGAGGCCCAGUCUCCACCCAGCCCUUCCAAGCUGGGCUACCUGCCUGACUUGAGCUCAGGCUGAAUUGUUCCUGCUGCCAAAUUCCUUGGGAUACCCUUCCCAUCAUCCCUACCCCCUGAGCAGCCACCAGAAAAGUCUUAUGCUUUUGUCAUGCAGUGCUCCCCACCCCCAGAAGACAGACAUCCUAGGGGUUAUGGGGUCAGCCAGGGGUGCAAUGGUCAGGUUCGGGGCUGGGCUUAAAGCAGAUACCAAAGGAAGAAUAAACAGAAGAGUCCAGAAGCCUUUUCUCUAAAACAAGAUAGGCUCAGGAAAGGGGAAAAGAGCAAAGAUGGGCCAGGUUUGGGUGACCUUGACCCCUCAGUCCUCAGCCUCCAGGGACUGACUGCCCCUGCCUGUUCCUGUCAACCUAGGAACCCAAGAGGAAGGACAACCUUUGAUGCUAAGUCUAGCCUGCCACAAUGACUUUGGCUCAGAACAAGGAGUGCCUGUCUGUGCCUUACUUCCUGGAGCAGCUGGCCUGCCCUGUCUGGGUCUGCAGGCAGGUGGAGGGGUUUCCUGAAACCCAGAACACCGCUCUUAGAGUGUCCCUGCUUUCAGCCAAGGACCCUAGGGAAUGUUCCUUUCCUCCCACAGUCAGGCUUCUGCAGAGAAGAAGGGCCUUUUGUCCACAGAUGGCUGUGGUCAUGUUCAAUCCCAGGGAAAAGGGCAGCUCCUGGGGCCUCUGACCUGACCCUUGACCCCAUGCAAGGACAGAACUGCUUGCCCUGCCCUGUCUCUCCACCCGAACUAUGAGCUGCUGUUUUGUUUUGUUUUUCAUGGAGGAACUCUUGCUGGCUUGCUCACUGACUCAUGCUUAACUAGCUCCCUCAUACAGCCUAGGACUACUUGCUCAGGUAAUGGUAUAGCCCAUAGUAGUGGUCUGGGUCUUCCUGCAACAACAAUUCCCCCCGCAGACCAGUCUGACCCAAGGAUCCCUCAAUUGAGACUUCCUUCCCAGAUGACCCUGGCUGUAUCACAUUAAAGCUGACUAGGAUGAGUGCCAAGGGGGAAACUUCUCCCAUUUCCACCAGGCUGAAUGCUCUGAAA